GCGAUCAUACCAGCACUAAUGCACCGGAUCCCAUUCGAACUGUGCAGUUUGGCAUGCUUGAGCGAAAGUAGUUCUAGGAUGAGUGACCCUCUGGGAAGUCCUCGUGUUGCACACU